rnacentral:rRNA from 1 species
GACGAACGCUGGCGGCGUGCUUAACACAUGCAAGUCGAACGGAAAGGCCCUGCUUUUGUGGGGUGCUCGAGUGGCGAACGGGUGAGUAACACGUGAGUAACCUGCCCUUGACUUUGGGAUAACUUCAGGAAACUGGGGCUAAUACCGGAUAGGAGCUCCUGCUGCAUGGUGGGGGUUGGAAAGUUUCGGCGGUUGGGGAUGGACUCGCGGCUUAUCAGCUUGUUGGUGGGGUAGUGGCUUACCAAGGCUUUGACGGGUAGCCGGCCUGAGAGGGUGACCGGCCAAAAUGGGAAUGAGAUACGGGCCAGACUCCUACGGGAAGCAAGCGGUGGGAAAAAUGGCAAAAUGGCGGAAGGCCUAAGGAGGCACGGCGGGGGCGGGAUGACGGCCUUCGGGUUGUAAACCGCUUUCGCCUGUGACGAAGCGUGAGUGACGGUAAUGGGUAAAGAAGCACCGGCUAACUACGUG